rnacentral:rRNA from 1 species
AGUGAACGCUGGCGGUAGGCCUAACACAUGCAAGUCGAACGGCAGCACAGUAAGAGCUUGCUCUUACGGGUGGUGAGUGGCGGACGGGUGAGGAAUACAUCGGAAUCUACUUUUUCGUGGGGGAUAACGUAGGGAAACUUACGCUAGUACCGCAUACGACCUACGGGUGAAAGCAGGGGAUCUUCGGACCUUGCGCGAUUGAAUGAGCCGAUGUCGGAUUAGCUAGUUGGCGGGGUAAAGGCCCACCAAGGCGACGAUCCGUAGCUGGUCUGAGAGGAUGAUCAGCCACACUGGAACUGAGACACGGUCCAGACUCCUACGGGAGGCAGCAGUGGGGAAUAUUGGACAAUGGGCGCAAGCCUGAUCCAGCCAUACCGCGUGGGUGAAGAAGGCCUUCGGGUUGUAAAGCCCUUUUGUUGGGAAAGAAAAGCAGCAGGUUAAUACCCCGCUGUUCUGACGGUACCCAAAGAAUAAGCACCGGCUAACUUCGUG